rnacentral:rRNA from 1 species
UACCAGCACCCCCGAGUGGUCGGGACGUUUUAUUGGGCCUAAAGCAUCCGUAGCCGGUUCUACAAGUCUUCCGUUAAAUCCAACUGCUUAACAGAUGGGCUGCGGAAGAUACUAUAGAGCUAGGAGGCGGGAGAGGCAAGCGGUACUCGAUGGGUAGGGGUAAAAUCCGUUGAUCCAUUGAAGACCACCAGUGGCGAAGGCGGCUUGCCAGAACGCGCUCGACGGUGAGGGAUGAAAGCUGGGGGAGCAAACCGG